UGCAACCUCCAUAAGGAAUCCUCACAACCCACCAUCUGAGUUAUGUAAUGGUACCACCACUACUGAAUAGAAGUGAAGAGACAAGGCUGGAAGUAUCUCACAGCUGUAGAUGCUCAGGAUCAGCACCAAAAGCUGCUGUUACCCCCACAGGGUAAAAGGAGUUCUAAAAUUGGAGUACAGCUCUCACUGCAUCCACAAAAGCAGCUGCACUGCCUGGGAACACAAAGCAUCUCAGGUGUUCUUUCAUGUGCUGGGCAGCUCCCAAACUGCCUAGGGGACAUGCUCAGAAGAGGCAGGUGAACACAGGUGGGAAAAUGGCCUUUUAUUUCAGCAGCAGCUGGAUCCAAAUGAUGUCAGCACACAGUAGAGGCACCAGGGCUAUCGGUGAUGGGCUCAGCCUUGCCCAGCCAGGGGCCUGUCCUGGAGCCUGCUGGCACUGCCCGUUUCGAACACAGAGAAGGCUUCUGGCAGCUUCUCAGAGAAGAAAUCCCUGUGGCCCAUCUGUUAGCAAAACCUGGCUGCGCAAACCUAAGGCACUCCUCACCUGGAGAAGAUCCAUUCCCAGAUUCCUGCUAGCCUGCCUGGUCACUAUGGUCAUGCUACUGGGGGGAAAAAAGGUAGUUCAGCAGGAAGCAGCGGAGGGUAAAGAAAUGAAGAAUCUGAAAUCGAUCCUAUUCCUGUCCUACACAGCACAGCUUCUGUCAUAAGAAUAAAGCAGAGCAGGACUAUCCCCUUGACAGUUCUGCUCUGGACCAUACAAGAGACAAAAGAAUAAGAAGAAGAAGAAAAAGAAGAAAGAAGGGAGAAGGGAGAAAGAAGAAAGAAGAAGAAUAUUGUGAUUUACACUCAUGUGAAAUGAUCAUCUCUAGUGCAGCAUAAACAAACUUUCCUGGAGAUCUAAG